CCUUCGGGCCUUGGUAGCGCAGCUAACGCGUGAAGUUGACCGCCUGGGGAGUACGGUCGCAAGAUUAAAACUCAAAGGAAUUGACGGGGACCCGCACAAGCGGUGGAUGAUGUGGAUUAAUUCGAUGCAACGCGAAAAACCUUACCUACCCUUGACAUGUCUGGAAUGCCGAAGAGAUUUGGCAGUGCUCGCAAGAGAACCGGAACACAGGUGCUGCAUGGCUGUCGUCAGCUCGUGUCGUGAGAUGUUGGGUUAAGUCCCGCAACGAGCGCAACCCUUGUCAUUAGUUGCUACGAAAGGGCACUCUAAUGAGACUGCCGGUGACAAACCGGAGGAAGGUGGGGAUGACGUCAAGUCCUCAUGGCCCUUAUGGGUAGGGCUUCACACGUCAUACAAUGGUCGGGACAGAGGGUCGCCAACCCGCGAGGGGGAGCCAAUCCCAGAAACCCGAUCGUAGUCCGGAUCGCAGUCUGCAACUCGACUGCGUGAAGUCGGAAUCGCUAGUAAUCGCGGAUCAGCAUGUCGCGGUGAAUACGUUCCCGGGUC
rnacentral:rRNA from 1 species